UAUAUAUAUAUGAUUAGUAUUUAAGCAUGAAUCCCCAUCUUACAAAGGAAAAAAUCAUAGUACAUUCACAUAUCUUAUCAAGAACACAAGGAUGCCUACGAUUCACUCCCAUGGCUAAAUGUAAUAUGGGUUAAUGAAAACUCAGGAAAUGACUACAAAAAAUAUAUGCUCCUCCACUGAGAACGGUAGAGUGCAUGGAGGAUAAAUUUGCAAAGACAUGAUAAUAUUAUUCACUGUCACAAAAACACAUAAAAUGAAGCAACAAAAAAGGAUAAUUUAUGAGUUUCACCCCGGCAUAGAUUCUUCAUUAAUACUUGCAGCACCUCAAUAAUAAAAAUUUAGGAGGUAAAAUAGAAGUUGAAGGCAUGAUCACAACCUAAAAUAGAUGACACAAUAAUCAAUAAAAAUAUUUAGUUUGAGGUUCAACACUUCAAUGAUGCAUUAACUGAAUAAAUGUUUCUGGAAGCAGACCAUACCUCAAGGUAAAGAUGAAUGUUCUGGUACUUGGAUUCAAGAAGAUGCAUACUUAAACUGGAAGCACUUCCAAAACUUCCUUCGGUGUCUUCUUUGUAUCAUUAUGUAGCAUGACUGUCUACUUUAUUAGCCUAACAGAACUGCUUAAGUUGGCUGAGUAACAUGCACAUAAAUAAAUCAGAAAAAGAAUAAGUAUUAUUAGGAGAUGAGCAAUGUGUCGUAAAAAGAAAAGAUAUAUAGCUCCUGAGCAGACGUCUCUUUUUUACUUCACUCCAAAUAGCUGCACACCAUAUUUGAAGAAUGUAACACUCCCUCCGAUUCAGCUUAAUUGAUGCUGAGUUAAUUAAUUCGGAUCAGAGGGAGUAUGAGUUUAUAUCUAAACAAAUAGGGAAACUUCAGGUGAGAUUGUUUCAUUCUAAAAUAAAGGUAGAAGCAUAUUUCCAUGAGGUGAACACACACAACUCUCAAGCAAGUGCAUAUUAUUCUCUAAUAAAUGGUAUUUAUUUCCUAAGGUUUUUUGGUUUCUUUAAUAUUGUUGCUUAUGGUGAUCUCUUCCCCUACCAAUUUUCUCUCUUAAUUGUUGGUCCCGUUGUCCUAAUGUCAAUAUUUUAUCUCGUUCAGAACCAGCUUGUAUAGAAAGGUAAUCAAGGUACAGUAUAGGAGAAGUCAAACGUGUUCCCCGAAGAUGUAAUGUACAUGAGUUUGGAUUAACAGAGCCGACAACAAGGAGAAGCAGUUACAACAAACGAAACACAAGUUGAAAGCAUCCAGGCUGCUUUAUACAAACAAGUCACAUAACCUGAACUCAACUCCAAUCUCUGACCAGAACUGUUGGUGUGCGCUUAAAUUUUUAGAAGUCAUGAACUUGAGCUCUUGAAGGACCAAAACAUUGGGCUCGACGCUGACCUGAAUCAUAUGUGUGUUAGACACAACAGUGCGUAGAUUACAUACAUUACCUAUCCACUUAAUCCGCAACACAGUCUGAUAGCAAUCAAGCUAUUUUCUCUAGUAAUACAGUAUACGACAAAUCGUUUUCAGGUUCAGGCAUCAACCCAGUAGAAGCUUUUUAAGGUUCAGACAAAUUUGCAAGAUAAUAGUGAAGAAGAAAGUAAGACAAGUAGUUGCACGAUAAGGAUUUGUAGCAUGCGCCCCAAUGCCGGUUUCAACAUGUGGUCCACCGACCUAUGGACUGAACAAAAGAACAUCGUGCCUACAACAAUAUGGAGCUAACGUAUACUAAAUAAUACGGUGUUGAUCAAACAUUGGUACGGGUACAAAAAGCAUGCACGACUAAAAGCUAAUUUGGAAAAGGCAUGACCAGAAAAGUAGGAACCACAAGACUAUGUGCGAAAAUUCAUCUCAAUUGCAGUGGAGCUUGAACAAGAGUUCCUGGGGGUAAAAGAGAAGUGAAAAGAAAUGUUUUUAGAGGUUAAUAGCUGGACCAAUAAUAACUUGGAAAAGGAAAAUUAAUCAAACUUCAAUAGCAAGACUAUUAAUCUAUACUUGGACUGCAGUUGCCAAUGUAAACGAACCUCUUCAAAAAGUGAAAGCUGCUCUUUCUAAGACACAUGAAAACUCAAGAAUUCAAAUGAAACCAAUGUGCUACCUGUGUAGCUAUAUGAGCAGAUGGGUAUUUUGCUACAGGAGCAGUGUUCUUGAAAAGCCAAUGGUCAGUACCUUGUUAUAUGAACUAAAAAUAAUACGUUGAGUUGCAAAUGUUUGAAAUCAAGGCCUGAGAGUCGCAACUCGCAAGGAGAAGAAGCAUUUGUAAAAUCGUAUUGUCCUAAAUGCAGGCAAUUGUCUGAUGUGUUUUCCUUUUCUUAAACGGAUUACUGAACAGAGAUACCAAUUGUCUUAAAUGUGACAGAUAGUAUGAAGCUUGACACUAUUAAUGCAGGUAGGAUUUCUAUGCUUACCCUGACGCAUAACUCCUAAGGUUUGAAACGGAGCAGCGACGUGCUC
rnacentral:lncRNA from 1 species